rnacentral:rRNA from 1 species
UACGGAGGGUGCGAGCGUUGUCCGGAAUCAUUGGGCGUAAAGGGCGCGUAGGUGGCUUCUUAAGCGUGCGGUGAAAGCCUGGGGCUCAACCCCGGGUCGGCCGUGCGAACUGGGGGGCUGGAGCACUGUAGAGGCAGGCAGAAUUCCGGGUGUAGCGGUGGAAUGCGUAGAUAUCAGGAGGAACACCUGUGGUGUAGACAGCUUACUGGACCAUUUCUGACGCUGAGACACGAAAGCGUGGGUAGCAAACAGG